CGGGAUUGUGGCGGGGCGCACCCCGAUUCGCUAUCAGGGGGUGGAGGUUGGGAUGGUGCAAUCCAUCAGUCUCGA
rnacentral:tRNA from 1 species